rnacentral:rRNA from 1 species
UACGAGGGGUGCAAGCGUUGCUCGGAAUUAUUGGGCGUAAAGGGUAGGUAGGUGGUCUCGUUUGUCAGGGGUGAAAGCCUUGGGCUUAACUCAAGAAGUGCCCCUGAAACGGCGAGACUCGAGUUCUGGAGAGGGUCGUGGAAUUCCCGGUGUAGCGGUGAAAUGCGUAGAGAUCGGGAGGAACACCAGAGGCGAAAGCGACUCUCUGGACGGCAACUGACGCUGAGGCACGAAAGCGUGGGGAGCAAACAGG